rnacentral:rRNA from 1 species
CAGCAGUCAAGAAUAUUAGUCAAUGCUCGAAAGAGUGAACUAGCUAACUGAAAUCCUUGAUGUGUCAUUGAGGAUAACGUAAGGGAAAAUAAUGAUACUACCUUACUAUUAGUGUCGUCCAAGUACUCGUGCCAGAAGACUCGGUAAUGCGAGAGACGCAAACGUUAAUCCACUUAAACAGGCGUAAAGGGUUUGUAGGCGGCUAAAAAAAUCUAAUUUUAAGUUUACUGUUAAAGGGCAAUAAUAAUUAAUAAAAUCUUUCCAAUGAUAAAGGUUAAUUUUAUUUAGAUAAAUUACUUAUUAAUUUAGCGUUUUAAUGUUUAAAGUUAGAUCAAUUUAGCUAGAAUCUAAAAGGGGUUAAAACAAUACUUAAAGUAGGUGUUCCAACCGUAAAUAUUAAGCAGAGUGUUAAGGGCGAAGGCUUUUAUCCAAUAAAGAUUGACGCUGAGAAACGAAGGUGAGGACAGAAAAAAGGAUUAGAUACCCUUGUAUCCCUCACUGUCAACGAUGAAUGGUAGUUACUAAGAAGAAAUAACUUAGAAAUAAUGUUAACACGCAAACCAUUCCGCCUUGUGAGUACGACUGCAAAGUUGAAAACAAAAAAAUUAGUCGGUUUCGGAGCAAACGAAGUGAAGCAUGUUAUUUAAUUCGAUAAUCCGC